UACGUAGGGUGCAAGCGUUGUCCGGAAUUAUUGGGCGUAAAGAGCUCGUAGGCGGUCUGUUACGUCGGCUGUGAAAACCUGGGGCUCAACCUCGGGUCUGCAUCCGAUACUGCCCGGCUAGAGGUAGGUAGGGGAGAUCGGAAUUCCUGGUGUAGCGGUGAAAUGCGCAGAUAUCAGGAGGAACACCGGUGGCGAAGGCGGAUCUCUGGGCCUUACCUGACGCUCAGGCGCGAAAGCUAGGGGAGCGAACUGG
rnacentral:rRNA from 1 species